UAUAUAAAUCAGAACUAUUUCCUUUUGUUGAAGGAGAGUGUGAUAAGUGGUGGUUGGUAUAACUCUAGCAUUUGCUAAGGCACAGCAGAAAUCUCUUGUAUUUAUAAUUUUGAUAAAGGCAUUUGAUGAAAUAGGCUUUUGAAUUUGGGACUGAAGUAUUUUACCCCCCUACAAGCUCUAAUGUAGGAGGGUGGUUGGUGAGUUGCCAGUGCCACCACAGACGCCAAAGGGAUGGCACAAGUGACACUGCUGAAGUGCUCUCUGAAAUGAAAGGUAUGUUCUCCUUGUUUUUUCUGUGUCUUCUAGAAGGUGUUUCCAUCCCUGAAGCCAAGUAAGAACAAGAUAACCUAAAAACAGGAAAGCCCUUGGCUCUCAGCUGUGGUCUAUGAGGAGCUGAUGGGGAGAUUUAUGUCCAUCAGUGCAUCAAUUUGAGAUGGUUUAGCCCUGCACCCUCUGGGGUAAACUUCAUCAGACAGUGGCAAGAGAUUCUUUCAUCUGUAUUACAUCUUCCAGGGAAAAAGUCACUCUGGGUUACUUACACUCCAUGAAUUUCACCUACUGAAAAUGACUUUCUGGUGGAUCUCCCUGGGGUCAAUCCAACCGUCCAGAUAGUUCCAGCUUGUGAAAUGGUUCUGCCAUAUUUUAGCAGUGUGAAGAUUCACCUCCUCUGAAUUACCCCCUGAGGGAAGAAGGACAGAGGUGAAUGAACAUCAGAAGUGUCCAACCUCUCUGCUCAGCUGCUGCCUUGGACUUGGGGCUCUUUCAGAGGACUUUGAGGUA